rnacentral:lncRNA from 1 species
GGGCAACAGAGUAUAAACAUAUAUCAUGACUAAAACAUACUAAGUAUUAUUAAUCGGCUAGCAAGGAAAGAUAAACAUACGACCUGAACUGAAUUGACCAGUGCGCACGACCAUAUAAAAAAAAUAAACAAACUUCCUUUGACAAUAAGUUUCUAAUUAAAUCAUGGCUACGCCUGGGCAGCGUUAUUGUGAGAGUGAAAGUGGACGUGCUGCUACUCCCUUCAUUCCCAACAUGUAUCAAGUACCUGCAUUGAGUAAUGCAAGAGUGAGAUGACACAUCUCAACAAGUAAAAUAAUAUCAAACAGUUUAACCACAUAAGAACAUUGUUUUACCACCACUUGAUUCCACAACCUUCUUAUUACGAAGGUGCAGCACGUAUACAACGUACAACACACCUAGUUACCACACCUCGCAGGUAGAAACCACAAUAGUAACAUAGUAAUGUCACACUUCAUAUAUUCCUCAUGAGUGCAAAUGUAUGCAAAUGCAAGGAUGACUUCUGCCUUCAUACCUCUAAGGAUAUGAAGCCGCAUCGUACCCCUCCUUGGGCAACGUAUGAUGCUAAAAAUGUACCGGUACGGUCGGACCAUAAGAUCACGACAUAACUUCAAAAUGCAAGAUGGAUGAUGCGAUGUGCAUGUCAUGCCUACAACACUUCAUAUAACAUGAUUCAAAAAGACACUUCAACUUCAUCCAGAUGGGAAUCAACCACAUAUAUCAUUACCAAAUUAUGAUCAUCCACAAUAUUAGACAAUUGAGAAUUAAUACUUCCAAACAAAUAAACUUCAUCAUAGAAUUUAAUGAUUAACAUAAUUAAAACUUAUGAAUACUCAAUGACAGGGAAUAGGAUGCAAACCAAACGGUAGCAACCACCACUGUAUUUACUUGCCUUUACCGGAAGUUCGGGCAAAUCCCUACGUACGAUCCGGAAGUCCACCACCUGUUUUUGACACCCAACUUAGCACACCAAGUUCACAUAAUCAGGCUCAUAAGCGACGCCGCACCUACGCACCAACUCAAACCCCGCCGCGGGUUACAUCUCUCCCUACACCCACCAAACUGCAGCGGCGCUGCUUAAUAAUUUCAUAACUUUAAAAUUAUGAUGGCAGUGGUAACAAACAAAAACUCCAGAGGCAUCUACAUAAAAUUCCCCACAAGUUUUGUAUACAAUUUAUAAUUAAAUUCCAAUGUCUAAUUAGCCCAAAACAGUCCACAAGAUGAACCCUGUAAUCUGUUUUUCUUUGUCUUUUGGACAGCGACAUACCCGGAUUCAAACAGCGAUAUCUUUUAAAAUAUAAUUCCAAAUCAAGCGCAUAAGUACUCAUUGGAAAUAUAAGACAAAUCCCUACAUGAUUAUCAUACUGGUUAACACUAAUUACCCACGAAAAAUUCCCAGAAACUGCUAAUACCACUGCUGUUCACCCACCUGAAAAAUCUGUUUUUUGGACAGCAACAUAACCGGAUUCAAACAACGAUAUCUCCUAAAUUAUAACUCCGAAUCGAGCGCAUAAAUACUCGUUGGAAAGGUAUGCCAAAGUUCUACAUGAUUCCCAAACUGAUUCCCCUUAAUUCUCCACGAAAAAUGCCCAGAAAUAACUAAUUCUGCUGCUGUUCGUCCACCCCCUUAAAGUUCUGGACAGCCCUUCUACCAAAUCGCACACGCAACAUCUAAACAAUUGGAUUGCCGCAUAAAAUGAACAAGAGAUAAACACAAGAAUCACCUUGGGUUCUCCCUCUUUUCUUCCUCCCUUCCUCCCUCCACCGAAAACCGUUGAAGAUUUGCAUCACGCAACGGAGAUCCGAGCGGCAACGAAUGGCACCAUGGGAGGAGGAGAUGGGGGGGGGGGCGGCUAGGGUUUGAUGUUUUGCUGCAAGUGCUUGAGAAAGGAGGAGAUGGGAGGGGGGGGCGGCCAAGAGGGUAGGGGAAUGGGGGGGGGCGGCUGCACAAAGAGGGGGGGUUAGGGGAAGGGCGGCUAGGGUUAUGGGGGUUAGUGGGCCGAAACAAGAUUUGCGGCCCAACACGCCCACGUGACGGCUCCCGACCCCGAUGCAAGCGCCUAACCAAAGAAAUUCUACUGCCCUACUGGUGAAUGUUUUUCCUCAAAUUCCAAAUUCCCAAAACGCAACCACCGAAAGAGAGAAAAAAAAACAAAAAGAAUACCCUCCAACUUCUCUUCUUUGCAAACCGGGUGUCACACUCUACCCCCCUUAAAAAGAAUUCGACCUCGAAUUCCGACGCUUCUAUCAGAACAACAAAAGAAAGAUUAAUGAAUCAACAAAACUCACACAUAAAGAAAAGUUCGAGUACUUCUGCCGCAUCAGCUCCUCAAGCUCCUAGGAUUCUAAGAUACGCAGCAGACGACACUCUAGAGUCUGCUCUUGCUACACAGGAAUCAGCUCUAGCUCGAUUUGAUGGUCUGGAUUCCGCAAAUACUUCCUCAACAAAAAGACAUGGAAUACUUGGUGUACUCUGAUCACAUAUUCCGACAAUUACAUGUGCUAAGCCCAGCUGCCAACUCGGCCAAGAUAGUAGACGGUCCUAUAUACCUCGGACCAAGCUUUCCUGACACCAAAUCAAUCAUUGACAUAUGCAAGUACUUCAAGGAAUGUAUAUAUGAAUGCAAGGCAUAUAAGGUUCCUAUAGCCUAAACCAAACUUAGCCAAAUAAGAGCAACUUCAAGAGAGCAACUUAAUGCUUGCAUAUUUCUAGAUAGCAUCACCGCGGUUAAUUGUUUUGCUCCUAACUCACAAAAUAUGCAUCGAAAAUUAGUAAACUAGGACUUUAUGGAAAACUUAUAAAGUCCACUAUACUCUUGGUAUUAUCAUCACAACGAGAUUUGACACUUAGAAAGGUCAAACAAUGCUAAACGUAAAUUCUGUCCAGACUUGGACAUAAUUCAACUACUCAAUUCAAAAUCCAUAAUUGGAGUCUCAAUCAUCCAAUUCAGGUGCUCCCAGACUUUUUAGAAAGCUAGUAGAAUUGUCUAUAAUUCAUUUAUAAACAUAUCAAGUUAAUUCAAUGCAUAUUAAGGUCAAAAGACACGAGAAAGGCUCUGCUGUCCAAAUUUGGACAGAUUCAGAGAUCACACUUAAAACAGCUGUAACUUAACUUAUCGAUCUCCAAAAAAAGUAAUCCAAAAUUUGUUGAAACGAUUAAGAAAAGUACUACAAUUUCUUUAUAAUUUAUAAUAAGUUAUUCGAAGCUUAAAUUGGGCAAACAAGGUCAGCUUCGAAAUCUGUACAGAAUCUGCACAGAUUUCAAGACUGGACUUGAGAAAAUCAUAACUCCCAAACUACUAGACCUAUGGUCAUGAAAUUUUUACACAAGUAAGAUAAAGAAGUUGGCUACAACUUUUAUAUAUAACAUCUCUACAGAAAAGAUGGUUUACUUCAUUGAACUAGCUGCAUACUAAAACUGGUCAUGCAGUCCCAAUAGCAAGCAAUAGAUUUUUUUCAGGUUCAUUACUCUUCUAAGAUUAAGCGUUCAUCGAAAGACUAAUAACUUUAGGUUCUUCAUUACGAGACACCUAGAACAAAUAUAAGUAUAGAAGCAAUAUGAUAACUUUUUAAAUCAUUUAAGCCUAAUCUCACCUCAUGCAAACAAGAAUCAAUUUAAGCAUGUUAUGUCUGCCCACAUAUUCAUCCAAGCACAUUCUAUACAUGAUAUCAUAACUCCCUGUAGCUAACAAAAUUUUGCAAAUAUAAACUCCUUGAAAAGAUUAUAACAUUCCAUAGAACUUUUAUUAUAAUGAGUGUCUCGGAAUUGGUUUCCAAACCGAUAAAACAAUGCAACUCUUUUGUUUCAAAACAGAUAAUAUUGAAACAAUGGACAACUAAAAUUCAAAAACCUAUAACUCCUGCUAUACUCAACUUAAACUACAACGAACACGCGUUGGAAAAGUUUUGAAAAUUGUCCACGACUUUUGCAAUAAAGUUGCACCUAAAUUUAUCCUUAUAGCCCUCAACUCUGCAUGACCUACAGCUAAACUCAGCCUGAGAUACUGCACAUUAGAGAUUCGACUUAUAUCCGGGCAACCACCUCUCCAAAUCUAUUUAACAGACAGUUACAAGUAAAUACCCAUUAAAAAGGUACUGAAAAGACCUACAAGUUUUGCUUAAAGAGAAUUCGCAAAUUUGUGCUCUGCAACUAUCAAAACGUGGUCGAUUUAUUGGUGAUUAUAAUGACGCCUAAAGUUCAGACACAACAGUGCAACAACUUCAGAGCAACCUAACUCCAACUAUAUGCAAUGAGAAUUAGAAACCCAUACUCUUUGAAAAGAUCAUGAAAUUAAUAAAACUUUCAUAAUCCCACAAAACCCAAAAUUUACCGUAUUCAAUGUCUAUACUUCCGUACAAAAUUAAGGCUGCUAUAGGAAACCCAUAACUCUCAAAUGUUUAGACCAAACUGGGUGAUUGAGCAUCCGAUGCAAAGAUGAAGAAACCUACUACAAAACAUUCUAGAUAAGUGAAGCCUGAUUCAGCCUCCAACUAAUUUAAAAUGACUCCCAAAACAAAACAACACCUUACCCAUAAUAAAAAAACAAUAUAAAAUAAAACCCAAGGCAUUGGCAGGUGCAAUCAACACUAGGAUUUUCCACUACCAAAUGGGGAUGCAACUCCCCAAAGCCUUUAAGCAACACUUCACCUAAUAGGUUAGAACACUAAGCACAUCAAUCAACGAAUUCAACAACCUCAUUUGUUAAUGCCACUAAGGUCAAACAUCCAUGUAUCGACAAGGUAUGAAACACCUAACAUACCCGUCUCUAGCACUAUAAAACAUGGUUGUUAUUACACUAGAAUCCAACUAUUAGAGCUCCCCACAACUAUUCUGUUGACGUGAAGCAAAUGGUGCUCAUGUCAUGUAACGUCUUUUCCUCCUCUCAAAAGAGAUAAAAUUUGCAAUACUCAUAAAGCAAUGGAGGGAUAACAACAAGAAAGAACUAAUGUACUUCUUGACACAGACUCAUGCAAAAGCUUCAUAAAUAUUACUUUCAAUACUAAAAUAAUAACACGAUACUAUGCUCAACAGGAGUAAUUGGACGUCAAUAAGACAAUCCACAUAACCAAACUACCUUGAUUAACCUCACAUACAACAAAACCUACUAUUACUGCACUUGAACAAUUUGUACCUCGUGAUAUCACAAGAUGCAUUCAAAGUAGUAGACAUACAUGAUCUAUCAGACCAUCAUUCAUAUAAGAAAAUUUUCAAUCCGAUGCAACAACACCAUCACUAAAGAGAUAGAUGACUAACAAACAUAAGCAACUCCCAGUUAAGCAUUGACUUUGUUUAAGAUAAAGCGGUCCAAAUAAUGAUUCAACAAGCAUGCAUAGAGAAACUGCUCAUAAAAAAAAUCAAACUGCCAUACAAUGUUGGCAAAUAAAAAAAAUAUAAAACGGGUUGUCAAUAUCGCCCACAUGACUAGCCUGCAACAACUAAAAAUUAUGCAUAGCCUUAUGGCUAUUGAAACAAGCCAUAGAAGGAAAACAUGUAUGACAUAAAAUCCACUUGAAACCACCCUAUUUAUUGUAAAAAAAUAAGGUUGCACAUAAUAAGAAAAUCUAUAAGGUAGACAUGGUUGGACUUAUCAAUCUACGUCAUCUCACAAAUUCACUAGAGUUCUACCAGUCUAAAGAUUUCGUAGACAUUACAACGUUGCCUCCGCUCUAUAGAGACAAACCAAUUUUAUACUAAGAUCAAGUUAGCAAGUAGCCACACUAGCCUAAAAAAAAGUGAGGCGCAAAGCAUUGCACCCAUGGAAACAUUACAUUGAUAAGUUGGGUUGUAAGCCAACAGUCAAUCAAACUCAACAACACCAUAAAACUACAUUAUAUAGUGUUUUCACACUACACCAAGUCGGAUUAGACCCACUAUACACAAGCGCAAUAAACAAUCGGUCCUAUAAGUACAAGAACCCAAGAAUCCUUUUGGAAAAUAAAACAUCCACAGUCAAGCAUAUAGAAAUAUAUGAUGGUAAUAGCUCAGAGAUUUGAAAACAUUGCAUUCUAAAAAAAACAUCAUGACGAUAUGUAUAUAAAACAAGUACAUUAGUAGCUUCACUUGCAUAAUAUCUUCAAUAACAACCACAUCAAGAAACCAAUGUUAAAUAGAAGUAACAUGCUUCACUUGCAUAAUAUCCUCAAAUUGCGUAGAAUCUAAAGCCUAUGCUCUGAUACCAACUGUAACACCCCGAGGUCCACAAACACCCCGGAAUGCUACUAAACAACACUUCUGACAUCUAUAUAUAAAAUUUCGGCAGCAUCCCCCUUUGCAAAAUUGCAUGAAGGAGGGGACAACAGAGUAUAAACAUAUAUCAUGACUAAAACAUACUAAGUAUUAUUAAUCGGCUAGCAAGGAAAGAUAAACAUAUGACCUGAACUGAAUUGACCAGUGCGCACGACCAUAUAAAAAAAAUAAACAAACUUCCUUUGACAAUAAGUUUCUAAUUAAAUCAUGGCUACGCCUGGGCAGCGUUAUUGUGAGAGUGAAAGUGGACGUGCUGCUACUCCCCUCAUUCCCAACAUGUAUCAAGUACCUGCAUUGAGUAAUGCAAGAGUGAGAUGACACAUCUCAGCAAGUAAAAUAAUAUCAAACAGUUUAACCACAUAAGAACAUUGUUUUACCACCACUUGAUUCCACAACCUUCUUAUUACGAAGGUGCAGCACGUAUACAACGUACAACACACCUAGUUACCACACCUCGCAGGUAGAAACCACAAUAGUAACAUAGUAAUGUCACACUUCAUAUAUUCCUCAUGAGUGCAAAUGUCUGCAAAUGCAAGGAUGACUUCUGCCUUCAUACCUCUAAGGAUAUGAAGCCGCAUCGUACCCCUCCUUGGGCAACGUACGAUGCUAAAAAUGUACCGGUACGGUCGGACCAUAAGAUCACGACAUAACUUCAAAAUGCAAGAUGGAUGAUGCGAUGUGCAUGUCAUGCCUACAACACUUCAUAUAACAUGAUUCAAAAAGACACUUCAACUUCAUCCAGAUGGGAAUCAACCACAUAUAUCAUUACCAAAUUAUGAUCAUCCAUAAUAUUAGACAAUUGAGAAUUAAUACUUCCAAACAAAUAAACUUCAUCAUAGAAUUCAAUGAUUAACAUAAUUAAAACUUAUGAAUACUCAAUGACAGGGAAUAGGAUGCAAACCAAACGGUAGCAACCACCACUGUAUUUACUUGCCUUUACCGGAAGUUCGGGCAAAUCCCUACGUACGAUCCGGAAGUCCACC